rnacentral:rRNA from 1 species
GGAGAAAGCGCCAAACGCUCCGGCGCCGCAGGAUGCGACUGCGGCCGAUUAGGUAGACGGUGGGGUAACGGCCCACCGUGCCGAUAAUCGGUACGGGUAGUGAGAGCUAGAGCCCGGAGACGGACUCUGAGACAAGAGUCCGGGCCCUACGGGGCGCAGCAGGCGCGAAACCUUUACACUGCGCGACAGCGCGAUAGGGGGACCCCAAGUGCGAGGGCAUACAGUCCUCGCUUUUUCCGACCGUAAGGUGGUCGGCGAAUAAGGGCUGGGCAAGACCGGUGCCAGCCGCCGCGGUAAUACCGGCAGCUCGAGUGAUGGCCGCUAUUAUUGGGCCUAAAGCGUCCGUAGCCGGCUAGACAGGUCCGUCGGGAAAUCCACCCGCUCAACGGGUGGGCGUCCGGCGGAAACCAGCUAGCUUGGGACCGAGCGACCUGAGGGGUACGUCUGGGGUAGGAGUGAAAUCCCGUAAUCCCGGACGGACCAUCGGUGGCGAAAGCGCCUCAGGAGAGCGGAUCCGACGGUGAGGGACGAAAGCUAGGGUCUCGAACCGGAUUAGAUACCCGGGUAGUCCUAGCCGUAAACGAUGCUCGCUA